AACGUAGGAGACAAACGUUAUCCGGAGUUACUGGGCGUAAAGGGCGUGUAGGUGGUUGCGUAAGUCUGGCGUGAAAUUUUUCGGCUUAACCGGGAAAGGUCGUCGGAUACUGCGUAGCUAGAGGACGGUAGAGGCGUGUGGAAUUCCGGGUGUAGUGGUGAAAUGCGUAGAGAUCGGGAGGAACAUCAGUGGCGAAGGCGGCCAUCUGGGACAACACUGACGCUGAAGCACGAAAGCGUGGGGAGCAAACAGG
rnacentral:rRNA from 1 species